GGGGCGGUGGCGAAAUGGCAGACGCGACGGACUUAAAAUCCGUUGGAGGAAACUCCGUGUGGGUUCGAGUCCCACCCGCCCUA
rnacentral:tRNA from 1 species